UGUCAAUGACACCAACUUUUUUUUUUUUUUGCUUCAGAGUUACAUUUUGCCAAUAGUAGCUUUUCAUAUACAUUCUGUUGCAGGCACUGCCUUCUUUCAAGAUCAGACACAUGUUGGUCUGCAGACAUUUUCUGUUGAUAAACCAGCUUCUUUCAGCUGCAGAGCUAUGUUGUAUCAAUAGUUGCUCUUUAGAUAUAGUCUCACCUCUCUGCUGUCAUGGUCUGAGAUGCAGGUGAAUGAGAGUCCUGGCUGUCAGGCCGUUGAGAGCUGUAUGACCAAUGGCUGAUUCUGGUUGAUUCUGUGGGGAUGGGACUUCCUUCUCCCUGCUGUCAGAUUACACAACUAUGAUGAGGAACCUGGGGC